UACGUAGGGUGCGAGCGUUAAUCGGAAUUACUGGGCGUAAAGCGUGCGCAGGCGGCGCGUUAAGACAGGUGUGAAAGCCCCGAGCUUAACUUGGGAAUUGCGCUUGUGACUGGCGAGCUGGAGUGUGGCAGAGGGAGGUGGAAUUCCACGUGUAGCAGUGAAAUGCGUAGAGAUGUGGAGGAACACCGAUGGCGAAGGCAGCCUCCUGGGCCAGCACUGACGCUCAUGCACGAAGGCCAGGGGAGCAAACGGG
rnacentral:rRNA from 1 species